rnacentral:rRNA from 1 species
AAGUCGUAACAAGGUUUUCCUUCCGGUUAAAAAAUUUAACUGCCGAAGCCUUUCACGCCGACUUAAAACUGCGUGGAGUCUUGCCUUUUCAAGGUGAAGACAAUACCGCUGAAAUGCUGUGAUCACGUAAGUGUACCAGCAGCCUAAUACUACUUAGGCCCACAGAUCAAGUGGCGGUGGUCGAUAGCUAAAGCUAGAGACUAUAAUAUGACCGGUCCUAACCUAAACGGUUAAGAAUCAAUGUUCCGUAGGUGAACCUGCGGAAGGAUCAUUACUGAGUUAGGGUCUUCCAGGCCUGACCUUCAACCCUUUGUAUAACUACCAUGUUGCUUUGGCGGGCCCGUCUUUAACCGGACCGUCGGAGGUCUUCGACCUCUGGCCAGCGCUCGCCAGUAGCCCUUAACAAAACUCUUUUAACCAUGUUAAAUCUGAAAAUAGUUAAAUAAACUAAAACUUUCAACAACGGAUCUCUUGGUUCUGGCAUCGAUGAAGAACGCAGCGAAAUGCGAUAAGUAAUGUGAAUUGCAGAAUUCAGUGAAUCAUCGAAUCUUUGAACGCACAUUGCGCCCAUUGGUAUUCCAAUGGGCAUGCCUGUUCGAGCGUCAUUUGUACCCUCAAGCUUUGCUUGGUGUUGGGCGUUUGUCUUUCGAGACUCGCCUUAAAAAGAUUGGCAGCCGGCAUACUGGUUUCGGAGCGCAGCACAAAUUGCGGUCUGUUCCUGAAUGUCGACGUCCAUGAGCCCCCAUUAUCACUUUUGACCUCGGAUCAGGUAGGGAUACCCGCUGAACUUAAGCAUAUCAAUAAGCGGAGGAAAAGAAACCAACAGGGAUUGCCUCAGUAACGGCGAGUGAAGCGGCAUCAGCUCAAAUUUGAAAUCUGGCUCUUUUAGAGUCCGAGUUGUAAUUUGCAGAGGGCGCUUUGGCAUAGGCAGCGAUUCAAGUUCCUUGGAACAGGACGUCACAGAGGGUGAGAAUCCCGUACGUGGUCGCUAGCUCUUGCCGUGUAAAGCCCCUUCGACGAGUCGAGUUGUUUGGGAAUGCAGCUCUAAAUGGGAGGUAAAUUUCUUCUAAAGCUAAAUAUUGGCCAGAGACCGAUAGCGCACAAGUAGAGUGAUCGAAAGAUGAAAAAACCUUUGGAAAGAGAGUUAAACAGCAUGUGAAAUUGUUGAAAGGGAAGCGCUUGCAGCCAGACUUGCCUGUAGUUGCUCAUCCGGGCUCUUGCCCGGUGCACUCUUCUGUAGGCAGGCCAGCAUCAGUUUGGGCGGUUGGAUAAAGGUCUCUGUCAUGUACCUCUCUUCGGGGAGGCCUUAUAGGGGAGGCGACAUACAACCAGCCUAGACUGAGGUCCGCGCAUUCGUGCUAGGAUGCUGGCGUAAUGGCUGUAAGCGGCC